UACGGAGGGUGCGAGCGUUGUCCGGAAUCACUGGGCGUAAAGGGCGCGUAGGCGGCCUGAUAAGUAGGGGGUGAAAUCCUGCGGCUUAACCGCAGGGCUGCCUUCUAAACUGUCAGGCUCGAGCACAGUAGAGGCAGGUGGAAUUCCCGGUGUAGCGGUGGAAUGCGUAGAGAUCGGGAAGAACAUCAGUGGCGAAGGCGGCCUGCUGGGCUGUUGUUGACGCUGAGGCGCGACAGCGUGGGGAGCAAACAGG
rnacentral:rRNA from 1 species